UCUUGUAAAUAAAUGUUAAAGUUUAUUUAGUUUUUAAUUAAUUCUUUUAAUCAAAAAUUGAUUUGAUCUUAGUUGUAAUAAUAAAUAAUAUGAACUUGGAAAUACACAUGGUUCUUUUAGUUGGGGUGAGGUAGAUAAAUAAUUUUUUUAUAAAUUAAAAAUUGUAAAAAAUUUUUUUAACUAAGUAUUAUUUACAAGAUAAUGCUAAAUGGAAACACUAACCCAGUGAUAGAUAUUAGUUAAUGAGCGUAAGCUUGAGCUAGGUUAGUUUAAUUAUGCCCGGUUAAUAUGGUGCCAGCAUCCGCGGUUAUACCAUAGGGUUAAGUUAUUUUUAUAAGGUAAAAUGAUUAAAUAAAAAAUAAGUCUAUAUAGUUUAAACUCUAUAGGUGAAAUUUGUAAAGUUUAUAAAUUUUUAAAUUAGGCUUAAGUUAUUGAGGUCAUAAAACUCUAGAUUAAAACUAGGAUUAGAUACCCUAUUAUUCUAGAUUAUAAAUUUAUUUACCUGAGCACUAUGAAUAGAAAAUUCUGUGUUAAUUUAAAACUCAAAAGACUUGGCGGUGUUUUAGACUUUUCAGGGGAACCUGUCUCUUAAUCGAUAGUCCACGAUAGACCUAACUUUAUUUUAAGGUAUGUAUACCGUCGUCAGCAGGUGACUUUUAAAAAAAUAAAAGUUAGCAAGUAAAAAAAUUUGUUUUUUAUGUCAGAUCAAGGUGCAGCUUAUAAAAAAGUGAGGAUGGGUUACAAUUAAUAAAAUUUUAAUUACGGAAAUGUUGAUGAAAUUCAUAUUUGAAGGAGGACUUGAAAGUAAAAAUUUAAUUAUAUGGAUGUUUUGAAUAUAGCUCUGAAACGUGCACACAUCGCCCGUCGCUCUCGUUGAAAAAUGAGAUAAGUCGUAACAUAGUAAUGGUAACGGAAGUUGCCGUUAGAUG